CAGUAGCCGAGGGAAUACGUAGGGUGCAAGCGUUAAUCGGAAUUACUGGGCGUAAAGCGUGCGCAGGCGGUUUGUUAAGACAGAUGUGAAAUCCCCGGGCUCAACCUGGGAACUGCAUUUGUGACUGGCAAGCUAGAGUGUGGCAGAGGGGGGUGGAAUUCCGCGUGUAGCAGUGAAAUGCGUAGAUAUGCGGAGGAACACCGAUGGCGAAGGCAGCCCCCUGGGCCAACACUGACGCUCAUGCACGAAAGCGUGGGGAGCAAACAGGAUUAGAUACCCCUGUAGUCCCUGUCUCUUAUAC
rnacentral:rRNA from 1 species